rnacentral:lncRNA from 1 species
UGAUUUUUCUUUACUUUUUCAUAGAAUUGUUAUCUCUGGUACUCUCGACAUUAGUCUAUACAACAUGUUGAUGGCUAUUUUUAAAUAGUGAAAGCAUGGGUACAAAAACAAUCAAGCAUUUAAAAUGGCUUCUACAUAUUAAACUAUGCCAUGACCAUGAGACAAACAUAAUAGCAAAGGGUGGCACGCCUCAAGCAUGCACAAUCUUGAUGAAUCAUUGGGACAAGGAGGCA